rnacentral:rRNA from 1 species
AUGGAUCCUAAUGGCUCCUAUCCUAACAUUUCCCCCUUGCAUGAAGCAUUGAGAGGCACGACAGCCAUGCCGGUAUUGAAUGAUUUCGUAGACCUUGAAUCCCCAUCAUCAUAUUCACCUUCGAUAGGAAAUUCCUCAACAAAAAUGCAUGCACCACAAGAAGGUACCGUGAUGCCGGUCAAUGAUAGUUCCAUGAUUCCAUACCAAUCUAGUGCAGAACUCGCACCACUACCCCCACAACUGGGUGAUACAAUCCCUAUUCCUUUAUCCUCAGACAAAAAAGGAAUGUUCUCGCAUGAAGGCUUCCUCACAAAUCCUUUUUGGAAUGAAUUCAACUCGUCACAUCAGAUGCAGAAUUUGUCCACGGAGGCUUCAUCAUUCACACCCUUACUCCAAACAGAGCCAAAUUCAAUUGUUCAUUCCCAUCUUUACACUAAUGGAGUGUUGGAUGAUGGUUCACUCUUUAAGAUGGCCACGAGGGAUGUUUCCGAGAAGCAGAUGAAGAUACAAGAUGAAAGAUUAUCAAAUGCUGAUCCAUAUGGUGUACCUGCCCCUGCUUCUCCUACCAUGCAAUCCUCACAUAUUCAAAGAGAAGAUAAGAUCCUUCUAGUUGGUCCAAAUGGCAUUUCUGAUAGUGCUAUUAUGCAUGAUUCUACAACCCCACGUAAAUACACAUGCAAGAUUUGCAAUGCCACAUUCAACACAUCUCAAGCAUAUGGUGGUCACAUGAGUUCGCAUAGCAAAGCAAGGAUGAAAAGCCUACAAGGUUGA